rnacentral:rRNA from 1 species
UCCGAUAGCGAACAAGUACCGUGAGGGAAAGUUGAAAAGUACUUUGAAGAGAGAGUAAACAGUACGUGAAACCGCUCAGAGGUAAACGGGUGGAGUUGAACUGCAAGCUCUGAGGAUUAAGCUGGUGAGUAUGGCAUGAGCUGGGUCAUGUUGGUUGUGAGUCUGGGUCUGCUUAGCUGCAGGUUCUCGCCUUCUGGUGGGAAUGCGCGUUGCACUUGUCAAGUGUUGUGCGCUCAGUCUCCUUCGAACCUGCUCGCCAGUGCACUUUCUCAGAGUGUUCACCACGACCGACGUCGCCGUCUGGCUGUUGCGGUUAAACCGGCCGUGUAGGGUCUUUGUGACCGUGCACGGUUCGGGAUGGCAGGUAACCUGUUGUGCACUUCUGUGCCUCCAGGUGUAAUAGCUGACUGCAUCGGUCCUGUGCGGUACGUCGGAGACGGCGGCUUGUUGUGUGUGCAGGCGUGCUGUUGUGCUGACGGCUUCGAGUCUGGUUGCCUUGUUGCUUGUGAACGCAGGCCGGGUGAUGGCUUGUUGCUGUUCAGUGCGCAGUUGCGUUUGUGACACUAUGACAGGGCCAACAGUCUGUGGUGUAGUGGUAGACUAUCCACCUGACCCGUCUUGAAACACGGACCAAGGAGAGUAACAUGUGCGCGAGUCAUUGGGCGUUACGAAACCCAAAGGCGCAGUGAAAGUAAAGGUUCGGCUUGUCCGAGCUGAGGUGAGAUCCUGUCGUUUCUCACGCGCGGUACUACCAAGCAUCGAGCGGCAGGCGCAUCACCGGCCCGUCCCAUGGCGUGGCAGCCUCGUGCCAGCCUAUCGCCGGGGCGGAGCAUGAGCGUACAUGUUGAGACCCGAAAGAUGGUGAACUAUGCUUGCGCAGGUUGAAGCCAGAGGAAACUCUGGUGGAGGACCGCAGCGAUUCUGACGUGCAAAUCGAUCGUCAAACGUGAGUAUAGGGGCGAAAGACUAAUCGAACC